UAGGGAAUCUUCCGCAAUGGACGCAAGUCUGACGGAGCAACGCCGCGUGCGUGAAGAAGGAUUUCGGUUCGUAAAACUCUGUUGUUAGAGAAGAACAGCGCAUAGAGUAACUGUUAUGCGUGUGACGGUAUCUAACCAGAAAGCCACGGCUAACUACGUGCCAGCAGCCGCGGUAAUACGUAGGUGGCAAGCGUUGUCCGGAUUUAUUGGGCGUAAAGCGAGCGCAGGCGGUCAAUUAAGUCUGAUGUGAAAGCCCCCGGCUCAACCGGGGAGGGUCAUUGGAAACAGGUUGACUUGAGUGCAGAAGAGGAGGGUGGAAUUACAAGUGGAGCGGUGAAAUGCGUAGAUAUAUGGAGGAACACCAGUGGCGAAGGCUACUCUCUGGUCUGUAACUGACGCUGAGGCUAGAAAGCGUGGGUAGCAAACAGG
rnacentral:rRNA from 1 species